rnacentral:rRNA from 1 species
AUUGAACGCUGGCGGCAGGCCUAACACAUGCAAGUCGAGCGAGCGGCGGACGGGUGAGUAAUGUAUGGGAAACUGCCUGAUGGCGGGGGAUAACUACUGGAAACGGUAGCUAAUACCGCAUACCAUCAGCUGAGCCCAGAUGGGAUUAGCUAGUAGGUAAGGUAACGGCUUACCUAGGCGACGAUCCCUAGCUGGUCUGAGAGGAUGAACAGCCACACUGGGACUGAGACACGGCCCAGACUCCUACGUGAGGCAGCAGUGGGGAAUAUUGCACAAUGGGCGCAAGCCUGAUGCAGCCAUGCCGCGUGUAUGAAGAAGGCCUUCGGGUUGUAAAGCACUUUCAGUGGGGAGGCGUUACCGACAGAAGAAGCACCGGCUAACUCCGUGCCAGCAGCCGCGGUAAUUC